rnacentral:rRNA from 1 species
CCUCUGACCUCAAAUCAGGUAGGAU